UACUCCUACGGGAGGCAGCAGUGGGGAAUAUUGCACAAUGGGGGGAACCCUGAUGCAGCCAUGCCGCGUGUAUGAAGAAGGCCUUCGGGUUGUAAAGGACUUUUGUUAGGGAAGAAAAGCCGGGUGCUAAUACCACCUGGUGCUGACGGUACCUAAAGAAUAAGCACCGGCUAACUACGUGCCAGCAGCCGCGGUAAUAAU
rnacentral:rRNA from 1 species